rnacentral:rRNA from 1 species
UACGUAGGGGGCAAGCGUUAUCCGGAUUUACUGGGUGUAAAGGGAGCGUAGGUGGCGUGCCAAGUCAGGGGUGAAAUCCCACGGCCCAACCGUGGAACUGCCUUUGAAACUGUAGAGCUUGAGUGUCGGAGAGGGUGGCGGAAUUCCAGGUGUAGGAGUGAAAUCCGUAGAUAUCUGGAGGAACACCGGUGGCGAAGGCGGCCACCUGGACGACAACUGACGCUGAGGUGCGAAAGCGUGGGUAGCAAACAGG